CUCACCACCUCAGGCCCUCGCAAAGCCACGGCUGAGCGCGGGCUGAACAUAUCUGGCAGAAGUCAAAAGCAGCGACGUGAAAAUGCGUUUUCCUUGCUGAAUAAAAGUGUGUUUCUGUCUGUCCCCGUUGCAGAAAGCUGCCCCAAAAUGUGAUGUGCAACUCGCAGGCAGCCUUUCACAGCAGCCGAAGGAAGGCAUGUGUUCUUCGUUAACUGAACCGAAAUCACAAGUGGAUCUGCCGUGGCCUGUCACCCAGGCACUUUGUGCAAACAACUGUUUUGGAAGACACAGACACUGUCAUUGUCUGGGUGCUGUGCUGGAAAGAGAGCUUGCAGGGAGACGUCUGUCUUUCCACAGAGCUCAUUCUUCCCUGCCCGGCUGCCUGCACAUUAAUAACAAGGAAAAGAAUCCGGUGAUUCAGUGAUUGAUACCAGCUUAUGCUAAACAAUGUCCCCUCCUGUUUCCAAUAAACAUGGCUGUUCAAAUAGAUUAUAGUGUCUC
rnacentral:lncRNA from 1 species